CCACACCACAUGCAAUACUAGAAUAGAUAUAAAAAAUGUUUAAAAAUAUAUAUAUAUAUAUAUUUAGUGCUAAGAGUUACUAUAUGCUACAACGAUGUUCGUGAGCAUCAGUUUCUAAGAAAAACUUAAAAAUAUUGUUUUUAAAAGAGGACAAAGUCUUUAAGUCUCGUAAGUGUUUUGGCAAGGCGUUCCAUUCUUUCGCGGCCGAACAUUGAAAUGAUGACUCGCCCAUUUUCGAUUUGGUUGGAAUUACGCACAACAACGUGGUGUCUCUCAGGGAUCUAUUGUGCGUUUCUGAUCUUCUACUAAAAUAACCAAUUAGUUGUUGUGGACAGUCAAUGUUGUAUAUAAUUUUAUAUACUAAUUGCAAACGAAGAAAGCGCCUUCUGCUGCUUAAUGACAAUAAGCCCAGUUUAGUGCGCAUUUCUUGCGUGCACGUUUUGCGAUUUGCUGAUAGUAUAAUACGCAUCGCUUGAUUCUGCAUUCUAUUAAAUCCCCUAUGAAAGCCAUAUAAAUUUACCUCAUAACUCUACAUUCUAUCAUUUAAAAUCUUUGAUUGCCCUGCCAAUCCAGAAGAUUCGUUUUUUGGGGGGGGAGAGGGGGUCACACCCCCAUACCCCCUCAAGUUUCGCACCUGAUUGAAAACCUCGGGUCUGACCGGUCAGGCCAUUAAUUAAAUGGAAAGGGCACUAUAACCACACGUAAUUAAAUUAGAACGCGGCAUAUAGCAAACAAUGAUUCUAGAAAACGUUUUUGGUCAAAUUGAAAACAAAUUAUUCCAAAGGCACGAGUUGGCACGAUGUCGAGAAUUUGCUGGCACGAUGUCGAGAGUUGGCACGAUGUCGAGAAUUUCCGGCUUCGCACGAAUUUUUUUCCCG